CCUACGGGAGGCAGCAGUAGGGAAUCUUCCACAAUGGGCGAAAGCCUGAUGGAGCAACGCCGCGUGGGUGAAGAAGGUCUUCGGAUCGUAAAACCCUGUUGUUAGAGAAGAAAGUGUGUGAGAGUAACUGUUCACGUUUCGACGGUAUCUAACCAGAAAGCCACGGCUAACUACGUGCCAGCAGCCGCGGUAAUACGUAGGUGGCAAGCGUUAUCCGGAUUUGUUGGGCGUAAAGGGAACGCAGGCGGUCUUUUAAGUCUGAUGUGAAAGCCUUCGGCUUAACCGGAGUAGUGCAUUGGAAACUGGGAGACUUGAGUGCAGAAGAGGAGAGUGGAACUCCAAGUGUAGCGGUGAAAUGCGUAGAUAUAUGGAAGAACACCAGUGGCGAAAGCGGCUCUCUGGUCUGUAACUGACGCUGAGGUUCGAAAGCGUGGGUAGCAAACAGGAUUAGAUACCCCUGUAGUC
rnacentral:rRNA from 1 species